ACAGUUUGUGCAGUGCACCUUGGAUGCUGAAUCCAGCUCUGCUGUUGUGCUGCCCCUCUCCCAAGCUGCAGCCAGGUAAAUCUUCAGGUCACAGAGCAAGCUGGUACUGAAUACAGUUAUGGCUGGGUUAUCUUCCCUGCAGCUCCAUCCACAUGGACUAGGAUGAGAAUCCUAAUGGCUGUGGCAGGUGGGACAAUCUCUACUGAUGAUUUUUUUGAAGUCAGGGGUUAUCAAGUCAUGUUCAGGGUUGGCUUCUGGAGCGUAGAUACUUUGGGUCAUUGUUCAGAUUUGAAAACACAAAGCUCUUCUUUGGGAUUCUCUGGUUUUUGUGGGUUUUUUUUUAAUUAUUAUUUUUUGAGACACAAAUUUUUAUUACUCAUGUUCAACCACUAGUGAGGAUGGAGAACCCUCUCAUGGGAAAACAAGAAAAGUUCCAUAUUUUAAAUAUCCGUCACUUCUGUUUCCUGCUCAGGAAUGGGUGAGGAGUGCAUGCUCUCCUCUGCUGCCAGGUUCUGUUUUGCUGUAUCUGUUACUUUACAGUUUCUUCAUUAUGAUGGCUCACAGAGACUUGUCAGCUGUUCCUCAUCUCUCUCCAAGCAUGAAAAUCUAGUCUUGAGGGGUGUGUUUAGAAUCAGAUCGUAUCAGGAGCUGUUGGCAGGAAUGCACUGAGAUGGCAAAGGGAGCUUUACCCUUUUCCCAGCUCCCUGCUACUGUUUCCCAUUAGCAGCAGCUGGCACAGCCCAUUUGUCAGGGAUUUUCUGUGUGUUACUCAAUACCUCCGAUAUCCAUGGCUGUCCUUAGGAGACGAGGAGGCUGAACAACUCUCAAGAACUGGUGAAUUCAGUCUAACCAGAUAAAAAAUAAAGGAUCUUCUUUAUCUUUCACAAUUGACUAUCCCAACUUUAUCCUUCCAGCGUGUGCAGAUGAUGUGCAAAGGUCCAAAAAAAUAUGGAGACCUCUCUCUAGGGAAGCACAUCAAAACUAGCCAUGAUCUUUGUGUUCCUUGGGUAGCUCUUGCUUGCUUUUCCUGGGAUAGGGCCCGAGUUGAGGCUGUUUCACUCUCCAUACACAGCCACUGAGGACAGAAGUUACACAAACUCUUUCGAAAACCAUGUUUCUGUUUCAGCAAAGUCUUUCAAGUUCAGUCACUGAAACGUCCCCCACAAUAAUAAACCCCUGUUCAUUCCUUUUGCCUUCUCACGUGUGUGUUUAUUUCUGUUUGCUCCUUUCCUUCUCGCAGAUGGCAGAUAAAUCUUGUCAGUGCUUUUUUGGCUUUGCAGCCUUUUCUCAAUCAUCUUUCCUUUUGUAUCUCCAGCAAUGUGCAAAUCUGGUGGUUUGCUAUUUCUGCUAAGCGUAUUUCUUUUCCAUGCAGUCUCAUUGUCUCAGUCUUGUGCUUUUUUGCUGGGUGAAAGAAGAGACAAAUUUCCAGUAGGCAAAAAAUAAACCAGCCCCAGCUCAUGAAAAAAAAUGAACCCUUUUUAAUCACUGCUAUAAAAUGUAAUGGUGUGAUGUGAGUUCCUUGUCAAGGUUGGAAGACUGACCAAUAGGUCCUCGAGAAGCAUCUUUUGAUCUGUCUCCUGGAUCAAUUGGAAUUUUAUUGCACAUGAGGAGAACAAUACUGCAUGAGCCCUUGAAAUGGAGUGAGCACAGAUGACAUUUUUAUUCAUUCUCAGCCAGAUUGCCUGGUAUUGUGUCCCUUCUGUGAAAAAUGACACUCUGGCACCAGGCCACUGACUGCAAAGCAUCUUGGCAUGGGCCUCCUGUUUGUCUCAGCCUAAGCUGAGCAUCACCAGAGAUGCCAGACUGCUGGCCACAAGCUGAGGGUGUUAAAGCACCAUCUUUAUCAGCAUCUUGCUGCCAUUUUUGGUGGGAAAUACUUGAGUGAGGAGAGGUAGUUCCUGACUAGAUAUCUGGUGGCAUCAGCAAUGGUAGCUGGCUCUCCCCUUGGGACGAGCAGCAGCUCUCCUGGCUGGCAGUGAUCGGCACAUUUGUCACAGCCCUGCCAACCCUAAACAAAUUAGUGCUCAGAGCUUCUGAGUCUGGGCUUCCCAUCUCCUUUUCCUUUCCUUGUGUCUCAAGUGGAAUGUUUGAAAGCCAUCAAGUGAUUAGGAAGACAAAUCUGAUUGACUUCCAGUGUCAUCUGAGCUGUCAUAGUUGCUGCAACAUAGCCAAAACCUCAUGGAUUUCCCUCAGACUUUUCAGAGGCCAAUCCCUCAGUUUGUCUGACUGGGACCUGUCGUGGAAUGUCUGGGGACAGGUGACACUGAGCUGUGGGUUCUAUUGUAGCAGGACACUUGGCCAUCAAAACUUGGUGUGGUACUGAGGAAUUCCCACUAUUAUAGAAUAGUCCAUAUCAUAAAUCAUUUCUCCAGUGUCCCUGUUGGGGAUUUCUGCCUUCUGAGAAAGGAGAAAGUGGAGGAAGAUUUUCUUCUUCCAAGCACAACAGUUUAACCCACCUGGACACACAUUCCUGAGUAACCUGCUCCAGGUGAGCCUGCCUUGGCACAGGGGUUGGGCUGGCUGAUCUCCAGAGGACCCUUUCAACCCUAACAAUUCUGUGAUUCUGUGAACUAUUAAUUUUGUAGGGUGCCCAGAUUUUUAUUCAAUUUAAAUGGUUUUUGUUCCAUCCAAGUAGGACUGCGGUAAGGUGUGCAACAGCCACCACUGUGUGCUAGGAGACACUGGACUGGAAUCUGGGUGUGAAUUUGUCCUGCCUGCUGGAACCAGGCUCCCUCUGUGCCUACUGCUGUGAAAUAGGAUGUCACAUUUAGCAGGGAAUUGUCAGAUGCUUGAAAACUGGAAUCAUAGGAGCACUGUUUAAUGCUAAGUGGUAUCUGCAUCAUAUCUGAAGCUGGAACAUGCCAGGAAAACAUCCUUCACAUUCUGCACUAAUAUUUCCAAGCUUUCAGGACCAAUCAUGGGUUGGCUGGAUUGAAAAUGCUGGGGCUAAAACCGUGUGGAUACAGUCCCUCCUUGGGUGGGCAGGACAAAGUCACAGCACCUUCGGGAGAGGGAUGGAGAGUGACAAGGAGGGACUGCUCCUGCUCUAGGCAAGGCAGGGAUGGAGGGAGCCUGGAUCCUUUUGUUGCACCCUCCUGCUACCCUGUGCCUUGGAGAAUCCUGAAGAAAGCAGAGAGGGGCGUGUGCUGAUUCGAAUGCAAGAAUCAUGAAGCCUGGAUUACUCAAACAAAUUUUGAGGCAGUUUUCUGACUUUUACAUGCUUCCUGUAAUGACUUUGUGAAAAAUGAGCAGCCAAGCAGGUGCUGGCAUGACUGAGCAUUCCCAGGACUGGGGUCAGAGUGAUUCCCUCCCCACCUGUAGAAGUUGUAUUGAAUAUAGAAAUAAGGUCCGGAAAAGCUGGCAACUGAUAGAGGUGUCAUUAAUUACCGUGAAGAUUGUGUUCAAGUAAUGUAACCUGAGCAGAAGUUAAACAUGUUGUAUGUGAGAGAGUGGUGUUUACUGACAGCCUGAUGAGAGGAGUCAAAGGUUAUGGUCCAGAGGAGAAGGAGUUUGUCGGCAGCAGGUUCUCCUCAAGCUGGGAGGAAGCUUCUUCCCUUCAGUAGUGUGGGUUUUCCUUUGUGUCUUUGUGGUUGGGCUGGCUCCUCCAGAUGGCUGGAAUAGGCUUUGUUUCUUGUUUAUCACAACACCUGAAUAUCUGGAGAGUUUUGCCACCUUCAUCCCAAAUGCUGGCUGUUGGUUUGAGGAGGAUGUCAACUGUUACACAGCAACUCAUCCUUUUCAUCACCAACUAUUUUCCCUGAGUACCAAUUGACACUUUGGCUUCAGCUUGUAGUUCCUGAAGGGACAUAAACCAAUAUAAUCAUAGCAUCAGUGGCUGGUUCAAACACAGCCCAAUGCUGGGGCAAUCAGCUGGGCUGACGUUUUGGGUUGGUCCUUGCUGAAGAUGGGGAGUGUUCAGCAACAUCCACUGCAGAUGUGGGUGUGGAUCCAGGGAGUUUGGAGGCCAUUGUUGAGUAUUGGCCGCACCAACCCUAAAAGGUGGACAUGACACUGAGUGCUCUUCUCUGCUCUUAAAAAUAGCAGGUAAGUCACAAAUGAAGGCGUGAGCUUAGCUCCAAAUGAUGGUCAAUUCCCUGAAACAACCCAAACCUUUCACCAUAUCCGCUUAGGACAAGGUGUUCUUCCUCUUCUGAAGCACAAAGGAAGGAAAUGUAUCUUCAGGAAAUGUUUAUUUUACCCAUGGAUUGUCUGAAGCAAGGUUUGACAAUACCCGGAAAAAAAAAGUCCCCAUAAAGUUAAUAUAAAAAUAGGUGGGGUUAUUGACAAAAUGCAUGAUUUUUAUGAGCUAGAGAGAAGAAAAUGUGCUGUAAUGCUCUGUGCCAGCUGCUAAAGUGCAGCCCGGCGACUGUGGUGCAGCUGAUGUGUGACCUGUGGACCCUCCCGACUGCAGGCCAGUCCCAGUUGGAUAACUGGACACAACUGUUCCCCUGCCCCGGAAAUGGACCCAAAGGAAUCAGGUAGCCACUUCAAGGCAUCACUGGCACCCCAUGGCGAGGCUGCAUGGGGGGAGCACAGUCAGGAGAGCUGUGAUGCCCGUGGCCAUGAUUCUUCUGCUGUGAAAGUUCUGGAAGAGUUUUCUUUCCAGCACCCUGCAGAACAGAAGUGUCUUUCCAAGCCUUCAUGGAACAGAGCUGUCAGCCUGUGGCUCCCUCUCCUUCCGCUGCAGGCUCUCUCCACCAGCAAAUGGACCAGCAACAGUUUGAUUUUUUUCAGCUUUUGAACUGAAGUGGCUUGAUCUGAAUGUUAACUACAGAAUCUACUUUAGUAUAAUAUUUUUCCUCUUAACAGAGCCCCUUUCUUUAAAUUUUUUCAAUAAUAAGUAUCCACCAAGGAGGAGCUCAGCUGGCAUUCCCAUACUGUCCACAUUCAUCCUAACCUUUAGUAUUUACUGACUCAUGCAGUAUGCAUCUGAAGGAGUUAUUAAUGGAAAAUAUUAAAGGAAUUUAGUUUAAUAUUUGGUAAAUAGGAGGUGUCUUUUCUUUGUGCUUGGAUUUCUGUUUCAAAUGUCUAUGUUUGUGUUAUUUUUAUUAAUAUAUUUCAUGGGCUGCUUAAUAAUAGUAGCAAUUAAGAUAAUAACAAUAAAUACUAAUAAUACUGAGCUCUUCUGCUUUUCAUCUAAGGAGGUCAAGACUCAAGGGUGUACCUCUGGGGCUGGUAUAAUGUAGAUCUGAUCUCCUCCUGUUAUUUCUUUCUGUGGAAAGUUAGGAAUAUCAUGUGAAGAUCAGAUCACCUCUAUUUUGGCCUCUGGAAUGUCUCUUAGGCAUUAUAAAUGCCAGUAAGAAACAUAAAAUUGCAAAGAAAACAAGCACCAGGACAUUGAAAAAUAUAACCACAAAUACUGACCUAUUUGGGAUUUUUUUUCUGAUUUAGCAGAAUUCUAUUAAUACUGUAAUUAAAGCUAUUUUGUAGCCUGGGGGCUUGGGCACCUGGCUCUUAUUAGAGCUGGAUCCAUAGCAUGUGGUGAAAAAGGCCAAGAGGACAAGAGAGGAGAUGGCCCAAAGGAGAACACAAGAGGGCACAGUGGCACCUGUGGUGCACUUAUUGUUCUCUGGCUUUUUGAAUUGUUGAGGGCAGGGUGAAUUCAGAGCUCUGUUUACAUGACAUAAAUAAUUACGGUAACAGGAUUCAUUAGUGGGAACAGUAAAAAUUUAAUUUUGUCAACUUGGAGUGGAUUAUUUACUAGAAUUUUUUUUUUUUUGUGUGGCUCAAAGAUAGAUGUGAUGACUGUGUCAUAUAAGGUCAAUAUGGCAAUAAGCCCCGCUGCAAGUUUGACAGAAUUAAUGUGGGCAGCCAAUAAGAAUGUACUGAUUGUAUUAAAUGAGGUACAAAAUGCACAUUCCAGGCAGGUGUUUCUGCACUUUCCUCAUCAAUUCCACUCUUCUUGUACCGUAUUGUGCUGAUGGAAACGAAUUCUGUGAUUUCAGAAACAAAGGACGCUGAUGCUGCUUUUCAUUUUCUGCCCAAGGAGAAUAAAUGUUGGUGCAAACCUUUUUUCAUGUGGCUGCCCAGAAAUGACCCAAGUGAAGCCAAGAAGCUGAACAUUAAGCAACCUCCCCCUGGUGAUGCUGCUGAAAUGAGGGCCUCUGACAUUGUGUGACGUAGCCCAAUUUUUAAUUUGCUUGCCUGGAGAUUUGUCACUCUACAUUAUUCCUGCAGGGGACACACAGAAGAAUAAAACCUAGGAUUAUGCCUCACAUUCAGAGGGGAAAAGCUGCAGCGAUGACUCAAAGGGCUUGUCCACAUCACACCAAAUAUCCCUUUCUUGCCAUCAGUUGGCCAAACUCCAUCGUGGCAGCCUGCAGCAGAUCCAGUAGCCCUGGGUGAGAUGUGAGCCCCGGCCCCUGCAGCUCCUGAGUGGAAGUUGCUGCUGGAGCAGAGCUCCCCCUGACUCCCUCAAACCAAGUUUUGCUUAAGGAAACACAGGCCAGAAAGGAUCUGCAGUGAAUCCAACAGGGAUGUGCACCACAGUGCCUGGCAUGCAAACCUUGCAGUGGGGCACCUUUUCUCUGCAAUCUAGCCACAUCCUGAGAUACUCACAGAUUUCACAGGAUUCGAUGAUCUGACUUUUAAAAAUUGCUUUAUUAAAAAUUUAUUAACUCUUUGUGUGACACUUCUGAUUACCUAUUUAGGCAGAGUUUUUUAUUAAUACAUGACAAGCUUUAGGCAAAUGAUUUUUUUUGGCGGGAGCUUUUUAGCAAAAUGAACAAAUUCAGUGUCCUGUCUGGCAGAUAAGAUGCACCUGAAAGUAUAGGUGAGAGAACCUCUAAAAAAGUUCUGGGGAACAAAGGGAAUGCUGGGGAAUAUUGGGCAGGGCAAGGCAGAUCAGGAUAAGGCUGAGAAAAAAUGUAUGCAUUUAUACAGAGGUAAUACUUAAAAGAUCACUAGUUACACAAAGGUAGCACAGCUAAGGACUUUAUUGGCUGCUGGGCAUUAUUUUCAUGUACCUAAUAACAAAACCUCUAUAAAUAUCCGAACGGCGCUGAAUUUGUUAUAUCUGUUUAUUUAUUUGCAUGGGACUCCUGCAGCGUUUUCCCUCCAGCUGUGUCGACUCAGGACCCCAUCUAGCUGGGACUCUGUGUAACAUUCCACACAACACAGCAUUAUUUAGAGUCCCAGGCACACUUCCCACCACAUAAAAAUCAAACUGAGUUCUCACAGGUCAUGUUGCUGGCCUGGCUGGUACAGUCCUCAAAAGGUCUUUCCCCUUUCCCCCUUUUGUUGGGCAGUUGCCCCUUUUUUCAUCAUUUGUAUUGGAAAGAGGACAUGACUGAGUUGAAGCUGAAAUCCCAUUGAGUUUCUUUGCUGUGCAGCCAAAACCUGCUCAGCCCUCUUUCCCUCUCCUGUAUUUUCGCUGUAAUGUUAACUUUCUCUGCUCCUUGUUUACACAGAUGGAGGCAACACGUUCGAUUGCAAAACCAAAAGCACACACAACUGCAUCUCCAAACCUUCGGUGCAUACAAGUGGCCUGCUCCCCCUGACCUCUCAUUUCUCAGCUUUAGAUUAAAUCCCAGAUUUCAGCUUCUCAACCUCAGGCUCCUGGAAAGGCAUGAAGCCCUUGAGCCUUUGAAAGAUGUGAGCCACUUGACCACUCUUCUUCAUUUUAAUGCUUGUUUAUCUUUUCUACUUUUUCAUGCUCUGGACUAUUAACAAGACAAGAAAGUGCUUUUCAGGCUGCACAAACACUGUCAUGUCAGCUGAGCUCUCCUGAUGCACAGGCUGCAGUUGCCAAUGUGUGCACAUCAGAUGGGUUUCUGGGGGAUACUGGGCCCAGCAUUCAAACCCCAUCAGCACAUGAUCAUCCAUGGAGAACAGAGCUGCUUGCAUUUAUGUUUCCAGCAGUGCAUGAAGACUGAAAGCAACGCCACUGAUUAAUGUGCAUUGGGAAGGAAAGGCCCAGUAGCCACCUCCAAACGCCCUGAGAGACACCUUGUGCCGUAAAGGAAAGAGGAGUGACUAGGGGAGAGUUUGACCUGACUGGAAGUGGGGUGGGCAAGAGAACAACAACAAAAAAAAAAGUUUAGGGCAACAGUUAGUUCAGAGAAGAGGCUCAGGGUCGAGUUUCAUUUUAAGGUUCUGAUUUAUCUGAGUUGAGCAUGGCAUCAGCUGAAAUUCAGAAUGAAACUAGGACACAAACUUAAUUGCAAAACCAGCUGAAACCACAGGAUGCAGUCACAGAAAAUUCUCACUCGUUUGAGGCUGGCAUAGGGUUUCACGGAGCUUCAGCAGGAGGUUUUGGGGGCCCCAAAAUAGAUUCAGGGAGUUAAAAUUCAGUUGCUUUCCCAAAUUCAGCCCUGGCCUAGCAGAAGUGGAGAAGGGGAUGAUUAGAGAGUAUCCACGCAAGUAGGAGUGAUGGCUGGCUAGCACAUUGCUUGUCCACCUAACAGUGAGAUUUGCAGGGGUUGUGUUGUAACUGUUGGUGUAAACAGACAUGGUCAUCCUAAAAUACCUCCAUCCAACGCCGUGGCCAUGAGUGACACAGAAAACCGAAGGUCAGCAGCUGUUUCUCUUGCAAAAAAGAGUGAACCAAGAACCUCAGGCCUGUGGAGACUGGCCAGCCACAGCUCUCACGCUGCUCUUCUAAUUGUCAACUGCCGAUGGCCGAUUCCUGGAAAUAACCAGGGAGAGAGAGGCCUGUGCCUGACAUGAACAGACUUGUGGUUUCACUGAAAAGCCAACACAACAGCCCAAAGCCAGUCAUUCCAGCAGCAUCGCUCCUUCGCCUGACACCGUCUCUCUGCUGCUCCCUGAGAGAAUAUUUUCUGCUACAGACAUUUAUCCCACUUCAGAUUUCACUCCUCCUGCCACUAUUCUGGUUUUGUCUAGAAAGGCAGACUUUGUCUGGCUCUCAGCAGCCUGAAGUGCAUUUUUUCCUAUACUGGAUUCAGACAGGAAUCCUGUGGGAUGGGUCAAGGCCCAGGAAGGUGUUGCACAGAGACUCCUUCACAUGGGUGCUCCCCCGGAACUAUUGGGGAGUUCCUCCGCCUUGCUGUGACACCCUCAUUCCACAGGGGAUGGAUCUGCAGGGGAGGAGCUGCAGAGUUUUUAGCUCGUCAUCGUAUUUUGGAAAGCAAAAAAUAUUUGAGAUAUGGGAGACAUGUUGCCUUCAGCUCUAAACUGUGCUUUCCUUGGUUAUCUAAAGGCAUGGGAACUUCGUGAGGCCUGAUCCUGUGCACACUGGCGGAAGCUGAGGAUCUGAAGCAAAGCCUGUUUAUUCCAGAACAGCAGCUCCUGUUAAGCUGAGUGGGGUUUUGGGCAGCAGAGAGGUGAAUCUCAUUUCUGGGAUAGGUGAGCUGUUGAAACAUGCAGGAUUUUCUGCUGCCUUUGGCAUCUGGAGUUAAUGGGUUUGAAACUUCUUUUCACUUCUGCUUUUUGUGUGCAUGCUUGGUGUGAUGCACUUAUGGUGUGGAGUUUUGCAAUCGGGAGAUUUCCCCAUCAGUUUGGGUUUGUUUCUCUGAUUUUUACAAGGGAUGAACAGGCUCUCGCUUCAGGGCAAAGCAGACAGUAGUAUAUCAGGGCAGGGAAAUCCAAGAAAAAUAGUAUCUGAAUACUAUUUGUCUUGCAAGCACAUGUAGGCGUUUAUUAUUUCUGAGGGCUCUCUUGUCAGUCAGACAUUGAACAAUCAUGACAUCUGUUGUAAGUUACUGUCCCCCAGAGUCUCUUCACACAGUUUGGAGUUUGCUUUUUCAAAUCCACCACAAAUAAAGCCCAGAAUUAUCUCCCUGUCCCCACAAAGGCAAGUGGGAACCUCCUGGGGAAAUGCUGCAGACUGCAAGGAGGUAGAGAGGUUUAGCAGAGGGGGCUGUUUGGGUCCUCUCUGCCUUACCAUGGAUUGAGCAAUGAACCCCCCAGUUCACACCAUCAGGCCCCUGAGGCCCACAGGAGAUGAUACAAUGGUCAUUUCAUAAAAAAAAUAACAAAGACCAAGUGCAAAAGCUGACCUACAGCUCCAAACUUUCAGAGCCAUUAUCCUGCACUGUGUCGGGGAUCCCUGUGUUGGUGUUCACAGGUUUGCAUGUUGUUGGUGCCUCCCACACUGCUGCUGGGAGCUGGGAAGGCCACAGCCAAGUCAGCUUUCCCUUUCAGCCCAUCUGCCUGUAUCGGGGAAGAAAUACUGUCUGUUUGUUUAGGUGAGAUAUUAGUCUGCCCCCGGAGCUCCAGGUCACUGUAAAUGUAACACAAGCCCUAUUUCCUGUUAGGAAAGGGGAAAAAAUAUGCCUGUGAAUUGUCUCUGAUGUGCUGCCAAUUGUCAGGGAAGAUUCAAUUUGGUGGAGAAUUACUGUGCUCUUAAAGAGUUGCACCGGUGACGGAGAUUUAGGGCAGCUGCUCCUUCCAGAAAUGGGAGAUUUGUCUUUGAUUUUCACAAAACCAGGAUUGUGACUUGUAGCAAGUUGCCCACUCCACAUGGCAUGAAUGGCUUGGAGGGGAGGCUGAAAGAGUGGCUCAGGUUAAUGGCACCAUGGUGGGACAAGAAGGGGACACCUGUGCAUGGCUGAAGGAGGGCUGGGCAGAGAUUUGGGGUGAGGCUGGCAGGUGCUGGGGUAAAGCUUUCUGUCAGUGUUGCACUAUGGUAAAGGAGAAAUGGUGUUUUCUUGCCACCUAGCCAAAAAGCCAGACCAAAAGAGACAAGAAUUUGCUCUGUGUGUGUGAUGCACACAUGUGUUCACUGCUAAUCCAAUAAAGCAAAUAUGUGACCUGUGGAAUGACCCAAAGCUGUUACAAUAAAUAAUGCUACAGAUCA